rnacentral:rRNA from 1 species
AUUGAACGCUGGCGGAAUGCUUUACACAUGCAAGUCGAACGGCAGCACGGACUUCGGUCUGGUGGCGAGUGGCGAACGGGUGAGUAAUACAUCGGAACGUGCCCAGUCGUGGGGGAUAACGUAGCGAAAGCUACGCUAAUACCGCAUACGAUCUACGGAUGAAAGCGGGGGAUCGCAAGACCUUGCGCGAUUGGAGUGGCCGAUGGCAGAUUAGGUAGUUGGUGGGGUAAAGGCUCACCAAGCCGACGAUCUGUAGCUGGUCUGAUAGGACGACCAGCCACCCUGGGACUGAGACACGGCCCAGACUCGUACGGGAGGCAGCAGUGGGGAAUUUUGGACAAUGGGCGCGAGCCUGAUCCAGCCAUUCCGCGUGCAGGAUGAAGGCCCUCGGGUUGUAAACUGCUUUUGUACAGAACGAAAAGGCUCUGGUUAAUACCUGGGGCUCAUGACGGUACUGUAAGAAUAAGCACCGGCUAACUACGUGCCAGCAGCCGCCGUAA